AGGACUACUAAGAGUCAUCACACAAGAUCUGUCUCCAACACACUAAAAAUAGAAAGGAAUAGAAUAUCAGAUUUGGGAGGCCGAGCUUUUAGUUUAAUUUCCUUGGAUUUAGCUCAUUCAUUUAAGAGCACGCAAUGGAUUACUGGGACGACACACUAUUAAAUAUCUGGGCUGGAACAAGCCUUACAUCUGAAGGUACCCUACUUUGCUCCUCAUCAUAUGCUGUUUGGAUAUCCUGUGCACAUCUAUCCUGUGCACUGCUUCAACUCAGUAGAUCAACAAAGUAGUCCAUGUUGAUUGAGCUCCAAUUAAGUGCAAAACACAGAGAGGUGGCUAUAUUGUAUUUAGU